UCUGUCUUCAAGGGGACAGACAGUGCAAGUCUGUCACUGGUUUCUGAAGACAACAAGGUAUCAGGACAGCAUUCUUUAUACCAGAAUUAUACAAAGACUCUGAAAGUAUUGUGUGCAGCAUUGGGGGUACGAGGGUGAGCAAAACAGACAUGAACCCAGCCCCCUGGGAGCUUACCAUCUCAUGGGAAGAUGCACAUGAAUCAAAUAAUCAUACAACUUUAUAAUUACAGAAGAUAAAUUUAGGGUCACUAUGAGAGAGCAUAUGAGGAAACCUGAAGCUUUCCUUACAGUUCUGGAAUAUGGGAUGAGAGCUGAAGGUUAUGCAGAAUUUAACUGAGGUGAAGAAUGAAACAGGGCUGGGUGCAGUGGCUCAUGCCUGUAAUCCCAACACUUUGGAACGCCGAGAGAGGAGGAUCGCUUGAACCCAAGAGUUCCAGACCAGCCUGGACAAAACAGGGAGACCCUGUCUCUACAAAAAAAUUUAAAAAAUUAGCCGGGAGUGGUGACGGGCGACUGUAAUCCCAGCUACCUGAAGAAUCAAGGUGGGAGGAUCACUUGAGCCUGGGAGGUCAAGGCUUCAGUGAGCUGUUAUUGUACCACUGCACUCCAGCCUGGGUGAUGGCGAGACCCUGUCUUAAAAAAAAAAAAAAAAAAAAAAAAAAAAA
rnacentral:lncRNA from 1 species